AUGCGAGUCAAUGUUCUUCGUGAAAUGGCGAACUGCUCAGUAACACGUGGAUAAUCUACCCUUAGGUCUGGAAUAACCCCGGGAAACUGGGGAUAAUACCGGAUAGAUCAUAGAUGCUGGAAUGCCCUAUGUUCUAAAGCUCCGGCGCCUAAGGAUGAGUCUGCGGUCUAUCAGGUUGUAGUGGGUGUAACGUACCUACUAGCCGACGACGGAUACGGGUUGUGAGAGCAAGAGCCCGGAGAUGGAUUCUGAGACACGAAUCCAGGCCCUACG
rnacentral:rRNA from 1 species